AAUACCGCGAGGUGGAGCAAAUCCCUAAAAGCCAUCCCAGUUCGGAUCGCAGGCUGCAACCCGCCUGCGUGAAGUUGGAAUCGCUAGUAAUCGCGGAUCAGCAUGCCGCGGUGAAUACGUUCCCGGGCCUUGUACACACCGCCCGUCACACCAUGAGAGUCGGGAACACCCGAAGUCCGUAGCCUAACCGCAAGGGGGGCGCGGCCGAAGGUGGGUUCGAUAAUUGGGGUGAAGUCGUAACAAGGUACC
rnacentral:rRNA from 1 species